rnacentral:rRNA from 1 species
AACGAACGCUGGCGGCGUGGUUUAGGCAUGCAAGUCGAGCGAGAAAGUCCUUCGGGACGAGUACAGCGGCGAAAGGGUGAGUAAUAUAUAGGUAACCUACCUCUUGGACUCGGAUAAUUCCUGGAAACGGGUUGUAAUACGAGAUCGUCCUAUUGGGUUGCAUGGCCCGACUGGUAAAUGGUAGCUCUGCUUCUGCCGAGAGAGGGGCCUAUAUCCUAUUAGCUAGUUGGUGAGGUAAUGGCUCACCAAGGCUUUGAUGGGUAGCCGGACUGAGAGGUUGGCCGGUCACACUGGGACUGAGACACGGUCCAGACUCCUACGGGAGGCAGCAGUGGGGAAUAUUGCGCAAUGGGCGAAAGCCUGACGCAGCCACGCCGCGUGAGCGAUGAAGGCCUCGGUCGUAAGACUCUGUGGGGAGGAGACGAAGAAAGACCU